AACGAUGAUGCCAGCUUGCUGGUGGAUUAGUGGCGAACGGGUGAGUAACACGUGAGUAACCUGCCCUUGACUCUGGGAUAAGCCUGGGAAACUGGGUCUAAUACCGGAUAUGACUCCUCAUCGCAUGGUGGGGGGUGGAAAGCUUUUGUGGUUUUGGAUGGACUCGCGGCCUAUCAGCUUGUUGGUGAGGUAAUGGCUCACCAAGGCGACGACGGGUAGCCGGCCUGAGAGGGUGACCGGCCACACUGGGACUGAGACACGGCCCAGACUCCUACGGGAGGCAGCAGUGAGGAAUAUUGCACAAUGGGCGAAAGCCUGAUGCAGCGACGCCGCGUGAGGGAUGACGGCCUUCGGGUUGUAAACCUCUUUCAGCAGGGAAGAAGCCACAAGUGACGGUACCUGCAGAAGAAGCGCCGGCUAACUACGUGCCAGCAGCCGCGGUAAUACGUAGGGCGCAAGCGUUGUCCGGAAUUAUUGGGCGUAAAGAGCUCGUAGGCGGUUUGUCGCGUCUGCUGUGAAAGCCCGGGGCUUAACCCCGGGUGUGCAGUGGGUACGGGCAGACUAGAGUGCAGUAGGGGAGACUGGAAUUCCUGGUGUAGCGGUGGAAUGCGCAGAUAUCAGGAGGAACACCGAUGGCGAAGGCAGGUCUCUGGGCUGUUACUGACGCUGAGGAGCGAAAGCAUGGGGAGCGAACAGGAUUAGAUACCCUGGUAGUCCAUGCCGUAAACGUUGGGCACUAGGUGUGGGGGACAUUCCACGUUUUCCGCGCCGUAGCUAACGCAUUAAGUGCCCCGCCUGGGGAGUACGGCCGCAAGGCUAAAACUCAAAGGAAUG
rnacentral:rRNA from 1 species